rnacentral:rRNA from 1 species
UGAGGAAUAUUGGUCAAUGGCCGGGAGGCUGAACCAGCCAAGCCGCGUGAAGGAAGACGGCCCUACGGGUUGUAAACUUCUUUUGUCGGGGAACAAAAGGGAGGACGUGUCCUCCUCUGCGGGUACCCGAAGAAAAAGCAUCGGCUAACUCCGUGCCAGCAGCCGCGGUAAUACGGAGGAUGCAAGCGUUAUCCGGAUUUAUUGGGUUUAAAGGGUGCGUAGGCGGUCUGUUAAGUCAGCGGUAAAAGACCGGGGCUCAACCCCGGCAAGCCGUUGAAACUGGCGGACUAGAGACGGAGAGAAGUAAGCGGAAUGCGCAGUGUAGCGGUGAGAUGCAUAGAUAUUGCGCAGAACUCCGAUUGCGAAGGCAGCUUACCGGCUCCGGACCGACGCUGAGGCACGAAAGCGUGGGGAUCAAACAGGAUUAGAUACC